UACGUAGGGGGCAAGCGUUGUCCGGAAUCAUUGGGCGUAAAGAGCGUGUAGGCGGUUCGGUAAGUCGGCUGUGAAAGUCCAGGGCUCAACCCUGGGAUGCCGGUCGAUACUGCCGGACUAGAGUUCGGAAGAGGCGAGUGGAAUUCCCGGUGUAGCGGUGAAAUGCGCAGAUAUUGGGAGGAACACCUAUGGCGAAGGCAGCUCGCUGGGACGUUACUGACGCUAAGGCGCGAAAGCGUGGGGAGCGAACAGG
rnacentral:rRNA from 1 species